GCACCUGUUAAAUCUGUUUAGCAACUCUGAAGUGUUGUGUUAAUAUUAGAACAUGCUGAGAAUCAGAACAAAUAGAUUGCAUAUUACCCCAUCUCUUGUUUCAUACGUACAGAGCUUGCGAAGGAUGAGUUGCAGCAGCGAGGGUAGUCGGUGCUGGGAUGUUACUGCCUUAAUGGAUACAUGUCCCUGGUGAACCGAUGCUAACAAGAAGAAGGCAAUGCAGAAAGGUCAUCAGCGUACCUUGACCAUUCUCUCAAGAGUUAAGAAUUCUUCUGUGCAAGGAUGGCUUAGCUGAUCAAGGAAGUGUCAAGGUAAUGCUGCUAUGUGGUUCUGACCUGCUCGAUUCAUUCAGCAAGCCAGGGGUUUGGAUUCCAGAUCAGUCAAAGGAAGAAGUCGAACCUGAAGAAGUCCUCGGAAGAAUCACAGCUGCGUGUGCCCGGCUGGUUCAGGGGACGCGACAGGUGCUGGCGCCCUGCCCCGGCGGGCGUGUGCGCGGCGGCGUGGGUGCCAGUGCAGGGCGGGCACGGCGGUGCGGGUGCCGGGGCAGGCUCUCUCCUGGGCACUGGCGAUCUCGCAGGACGGAUGCCACGCUACGAGCGGCAACAAUCGGCGAUGGCGAUCGUGCACGGAGGUGACGGGACGGUGCAGUGCAGCGUGGUCGCUGCGCAGG